UGGGGAAUAUUGCACAAUGGGCGAAAGCCUGAUGCAGCGACGCCGCGUGAGGGAUGACGGCCUUCGGGUUGUAAACCUCUUUCAGCAGGGACGAAGCGCAAGUGACGGUACCUGCAGAAGAAGCACCGGCUAACUACGUGCCAGCAGCCGCGGUAAUACGUAGGGUGCAAGCGUUGUCCGGAAUUACUGGGCGUAAAGAGUUCGUAGGCGGUUUGUCGCGUCGUUUGUGAAAACCAGCAGCUCAACUGCUGGCUUGCAGGCGAUACUGGCAGACUUGAGUACUGCAGGGGAGACUGGAAUUCCUGGUGUAGCGGUGAAAUGCGCAGAUAUCAGGAGGAACACCGGUGGCGAAGGCGGGUCUCUGGGCAGUAACUGACGCGGAGGAACGAAAGCGUGGGUAGCGAACAGG
rnacentral:rRNA from 1 species